CAGCAGCCGCGGUAAUACGUAGGUGGCAAGCGUUGUCCGGAAUUAUUGGGCGUAAAGGGCUCGCAGGCGGUUUCUUAAGUCUGAUGUGAAAGCCCCCGGCUCAACCGGGGAGGGUCAUUGGAAACUGGGAAACCUGAGUGCAGAAGAGGAGAGUGGAAUUCCACGUGUAGCGGUGAAAUGCGUAGAGAUGUGGAGGAACACCAGUGGCGAAGGCGACUCUCUGGUCUGUAACUGACGCUGAGGAGCGAAAGCGUGGGGAGCGAACAGGAUUAGAUACCCGUGUAGUCCCUGUCUCUUAUAC
rnacentral:rRNA from 1 species